GAUGAACGCUGGCGGCGUGCCUAAUACAUGCAAGUCGAGCGAAUGGAUUAAGAGCUUGCUCUUAUGAAGUUAGCGGCGGACGGGUGAGUAACACGUGGGUAACCUGCCCAUAAGACUGGGAUAACUCCGGGAAACCGGGGCUAAUACCGGAUAACAUUUUGAACCGCAUGGUUCGAAAUUGAAAGGCGGCUUCGGCUGUCACUUAUGGAUGGACACGCGUCGCAUUAGCUCGUUGGUGAGGUAACGGCUCACCAAGGCAACGAUGCGGAGCCGACCUGGGAGGGUGAUCGGCCACACUGGGACUGAGACACGGCCCAGACUCCUACGGGAGGCAGCAGUAGGGAAUCUGCCGCAAUGGACGAAAGUCUGACGGAGCAACGCCGCGUGAGUGAUGAAGGCUUUCGGGUCGUAAAACUCUGUUGUUAGGGAAGAACAAGUGCUAGUUGAAUAAGCUGGCACCUUGACGGUACCUAACCAGAAAGCCACGGCUAACUACGUGCCAGCCGCCGCGGUAA
rnacentral:rRNA from 1 species